rnacentral:lncRNA from 1 species
UUGGGGUACCAUAAGCUUUUAAAAGGCCUUGUUUCGGUGGUUUCUUUGUCAUUAGCUGGCCUUUCCUCUCUUUUAUUUCUGGACCCUAAAGGUGGAGUCCCUGGGGAACCUCAGACGGCUGGACCAACACUAGCUUGAAAGAGAUGCCACUUCCUUCUUCACGUCAUUGAACUGGGAGUCCCAGCAAUAGAAUGAUGAAAUAAAGAGGCUCAGAAUACUGGAGCAAAACAAAGAUUAGAGUCAUUCAACUUAAACCCUGUGUUUUACCUCUCAGGUAAUGGAGAGAAGAGGACACAGAGGUCCUAAGGGAAUCCAGAGCCACAGGCAGAAAGAGCCUGGUUCCCUGAAUCACUGCAUGAAGGAAAGCCAGAGCUGCCAAACGGGAACAGUACCCUGGACUUGUACGUGAAUAGGAAAUGAACUUCUGUUGAGACUGCCCCUGAGCUCACAUCUGUGCUCAUCUUCCUCUGCUUUAUAUGUGGGAUGCCUACCACAGAAUGGCUUGCCAAGCAGUGCCAUGUCUGCAACCAGGAUCCGAACCAGCGAACUCCAGGCCACUGAAGCAGAAUGUGUGCACUUAACGCUGUGCCACCAAGCUGGCCUCAUCAAGAUGUCAUCUGGGCUGAAGUCUUCUGAAGGUUCCACUGGGC